ACGAAUCGGAGCAGGCGGCCGCUGCUGAUGGUACGACGGUGCAAACCUUGUUGGCGGUUAGGUGUGCGGCAGCGGAUUCAGCCAGACGGGCGGGUGAGCGGGUGUGGCGGGUGCGGUGGGUGCGGCGGGGUGGGGGCAUAUAUGGUGGUGCUGAGUUGUGAAGGGUUUCCCAGAGCCCAAAUGAUCUAUGCGGACUAGGAGAUCUGUAUGGACAAAGGAGCAGCGGCUUUUCGAGAGCAUGUUUCGUUUUUUGACUUGGCUGGGUCGAACACGACCGACCCCUCCAAUAGCCAAGAAGCUGAAGGACACAUCCUACAUAUUUCCUACAUGCAACCAGGGGAUCGUCGUCAUCAUCAUCAACAUGGUCAACAUCAUCAACAUCAUCAACAUCAUCAACUUCAUUAACAUCAACAUCAUCAACAUCAUCAACUUCUUCUGCGCCGCUGUGUUGCCUAGCCAGGGGCUGGGAGAGUGUCCCGGUUGGCGUGAGUGAGGGAAUGAGGCGCGCGCGGAGAGACGGACGUAGAGCCGCG
rnacentral:lncRNA from 1 species